GUGCCAGCAGCCGCGGUAAUACCAGCCCCGCGAGUGGUCGGGACUCUUGCUGGGCCUAAAGCGCCCGUAGCCGGCCCGGUAAGUCCCUCCUUAAAGCCCCGGGCUCAACCCGGGGAGCGGGGGGAUACUGCCGGGCUAGGGGGCGGGAGAGGCCGGGGGUACCCCAGGGGUAGGGGCGAAAUCCGAUAAUCCCUGGGGGACCACCAGUGGCGAAGGCGCCCGGCUGGAACGCGCCCGACGGUGAGGGGCGAAAGCCGGGGCAGCAAAAGGGAUUAGAUACCCCUGUAGUCCCGGCUGUAAACGAUGCCGGCUAGGUGUCGCGUGGGCUUAGAGCCCGCCCGGUGCCGCAGGGAAGCCGUUAAGCCCGCCGCCUGGGGAGUACGGCCGCAAGGCUGAAACUUAAAGGAAUUGGCGGGGGGGCACCACAAGGGGUGAAGCUUGCGGCUUAAUUGGAGUCAACGCCGGAAACCUUACCCGGGGCGACAGCAGGAUGAUGGCCAGGCUAACGACCUUGCCGGACGAGCUGAGAGGAGGUGCAUGGCCGUCGUCAGCUCGUGCCGUGAGGUGUCCGGUUAAGUCCGGCAACGAGCGAGACCCCCACCCCUAGUUGCUACCCGAUCCUUCGGGAUCGGGGGCACACUAGGGGGACUGCCGGCGUAAGCCGGAGGAAGGAGGGGGCCACGGCAGGUCAGUAUGCCCCGAAACCCCGGGGCUGCACGCGAGCUGCAAUGGCGGGGACAGCGGGAUCCGACCCCGAAAGGGGAAGGUAAUCCCGUAAACCCCGCCCCAGUAGGGAUCGAGGGCUGUAACUCGCCCUCGUGAACGUGGAAUCCCUAGUAGACCGCGUGUCACCAACGCGCGGUGAAUACGUCCCUGCCCCUUGCACACACCGCCCGUC
rnacentral:rRNA from 1 species